CCUACGGGGGGCAGCAGUAGGGAAUCUUCGGCAAUGGGGGGAACCCUGACCGAGCAACGCCGCGUGAGUGAAGAAGGUUUUCGGAUCGUAAAGCUCUGUUGUAAGAGAAGAACGUGUGUGAGAGUGGAAAGUUCACACAGUGACGGUAACUUACCAGAAAGGGACGGCUAACUACGUGCCAGCAGCCGCGGUAAUACGUAGGUCCCGAGCGUUGUCCGGAUUUAUUGGGCGUAAAGCGAGCGCAGGCGGUUUGAUAAGUCUGAAGUAAAAGGCUGUGGCUUAACCAUAGUAUGCUUUGGAAACUGUCAAACUUGAGUGCAGAAGGGGAGAGUGGAAUUCCAUGUGUAGCGGUGAAAUGCGUAGAUAUAUGGAGGAACACCGGUGGCGAAAGCGGCUCUCUGGUCUGUAACUGACGCUGAGGCUCGAAAGCGUGGGGAGCAAACAGGAUUAGAUACCCUGGUAGUCCA
rnacentral:rRNA from 1 species